rnacentral:rRNA from 1 species
AGAAUCAACGCUGGCGGCGUGCCUAACACAUGCAAGUCGAACGAGAAAGGGUAGCAAUACCUGAGUAAAGUGGCGCACGGGUGAGUAACACGUGACUAACCUACCCUGGAGUGGGGGAUAACUGAGGGAAACCUUAGCUAAUACCGCAUAACACCUACGGGUCAAAGGAACAAUUCGCUUCAGGAGGGGUCGCGGCCGAUUAGUUAGUUGGCGGGGUAAUGGCCCACCAAGACAGUGAUCGGUAU